rnacentral:lncRNA from 1 species
UCACUCUUUAAUUUAUAAACUAAAACACUCCUAUAAUAUCCAUCAUUAUCCCAUCUAGUAAACCUGGAAAAAAUAAAAUAAAAGAAAGGAGACCCCUGAAUAUAUAACCACCGUGAGACCACCGAAACCGCACGGCGAUGACCGGAGAAGAUGAAGAAGAAGCAAUUGAUUCGGUGGUUCAUCUUACUCACCAUCAUCUAUCAGAACCGAAGAAUCAUGAAGCUGAACCAGAGCCAUAGGACGGUGGCCCUCAUUACUCGUUGAUGGAGCCAUUGGAGGCGCUACUCCUCCCUAUUCAACCGCGUCUCAAGAACAUAAGCUCCUCCACCCAUCGUCGGAAUCCCGAGUGGUAUCACCGCUGUAGCCAGGUUCUAUCCAGGCGUGACCCAUCUUCUCUUGGGUCAGGUUGCCCCCAAACCUGUGGCUUCAAAGCCACAACCAUGAGCGGCGUAAGCCUUUUCGCUCUCACACCGUCGCGAUCCUCCAUUAGCUUUGUUUGCCGCUGCAAG